UUGAACGCUGGCGGCAGGCUUAACACAUGCAAGUCGAGCGGGGGAAGGUAGCUUGCUACUGGACCUAGCGGCGGACGGGUGAGUAAUGCUUAGGAAUCUGCCUAUUAGUGGGGGACAACAUCUCGAAAGGGAUGCUAAUACCGCAUACGUCCUACGGGAGAAAGCAGGGGAUCUUCGGACCUUGCGCUAAUAGAUGAGCCUAAGUCGGAUUAGCUAGUUGGUGGGGUAAAGGCCUACCAAGGCGACGAUCUGUAGCGGGUCUGAGAGGAU
rnacentral:rRNA from 1 species